rnacentral:rRNA from 1 species
UACAGAGGUCUCAAGCGUUGUUCGGAUUCAUUGGGCGUAAAGGGUGCGUAGGCGGCGCGGUAAGUCGGGUGUGAAAUCUCGGGGCUUAACUCCGAAACUGCAUUCGAUACUGCCGUGCUUGAGGACUGGAGAGGAGACUGGAAUUUACGGUGUAGCGGUGAAAUGCGUAGAUAUCGUAAGGAAGACCAGUGGCGAAGGCGGGUCUCUGGACAGUUCCUGACGGCUGGAGGCACGGAAGGCCCAGGGGAGCAAACGGGG